UUCAGAGUUUUGCCUUUUCCGUAAAUCAAUUAAACGGAGGUCUUAAAGAUGGAGCAUCGAUGAUCCGAAGGUACCGUUCGAAACCUUAAUAAGUUAGAUUUCCAGUGGUGGUGGUUCUUGAUUGUUUACAUCAGCGGUGGUCAUCGGAAUUGGCUAGAACUUCAGCUCGCUCGUUGAAACGAAGGGAAGCAAAUUCUGCUGCCGCACCUGUUUUCGGAGCCGAAAUCGAAGGGUUUCGAAUGCGAAUUUGGAAUCGGUUCCUUCAGGAAACUCGUAGAGGACAUCGUAAACUAUAAGGCAGUUUUGAGUAUCUUCUUGCGGGACUGUUUUCGAUAUGUUGGGAUCAUAAUUUGGGCUCUGUGCCUUCA